rnacentral:tRNA from 1 species
GCUUUGCCAGCUCUUUACUAUAUUGGGUUUUAAACCUAAAAUGGGGCUGCCCUAAGCUA